rnacentral:rRNA from 1 species
ACGGAGGGUGCAAGCGUUAUCCGGAAUCAUUGGGUUUAAAGGGUCCGCAGGCGGAUUUAUAAGUCAGUGGUGAAAUCCUAUCGCUUAACGAUAGAACUGCCAUUGAUACUGUAGGUCUUGAAUUCGGUCGAAGUGGGCGGAAUGUGUAGUGUAGCGGUGAAAUGCAUAGAUAUUACACAGAACACCGAUAGCGAAGGCAGCUCACUAGGCCUGGAUUGACGCUCAGGGACGAAAGCGUGGGGAUCAAACAGGAUUAGAUACCCUGGUAGUCCACGCUGUAAACGAUGAUUACUCGUUUUCGGCGAUAUACAGUCGGAGACUAAGCGAAAGUGAUAAGUAAUCCACCUGGGGAGUACGAUCGCAAGGUUG